GACGAACGCUGGCGGCGUGCCUAAUACAUGCAAGUAGAACGCUGAAGGAGGAGCUUGCUUCUCUGGAUGAGUUGCGAACGGGUGGGUAACGCGUAGGGAACCUGCCUGGUAGCGGGGGAUAACUAUUGGAAACGAUAGCUAAUACCGCAUAAGAGUAGAUGUAGCAUGACAUUUACUUAAAAGGUGCAAUUGCAUCACUACCAGAUGGACCUGCGUUGUAUUAGCUAGUUGGUGAGGUAACGGCUCACCAAGGCAACGAUACAUAGCCGACCUGAGAGGGUGAUCGGCCACACUGGGACUGAGACACGGCCCAGACUCCUACGGGAGGCAGCAGUAGGGAAUCUUCGGCAAUGGACGGAAGUCUGACCGAGCAACGCCGCGUGAGUGAAGAAGGGUUUCGGAUCGUAAAGCUCUGUUGUAAGAGAAGAACGAGUGUGAGAGUGGAAAGUUCACACUGUGACGGUAUCUUACCAGAAAGGGACGGCUAACUACGUG
rnacentral:rRNA from 1 species